GUGAAUCAUCGAAUCUUUGAACGCAAAUUGCACUCUCUGCUGAGAGUAGGCGUGCUUGAGUGUCAGCCUAAGAAAAAACGACAUAGUUGCUUGUACGCGGUAAUGGUCGUCGGAAAUUGGGUCAUCUUAAACCUUUUGGUUUAAGCGGCUUAAAAUGGUUUUUACGAUUCCAAGAGCGUUGCUAAGAUUUUAU
rnacentral:misc_RNA from 1 species